CGGCCGCGUCGACGACGGUACCUAACGAGGAAGCCACGGCUAACUACGUGCCAGCAGCCGCGGUAAUACGUAGGCGGCAAGCGUUGUCCGGAAUUAUUGGGCGUAAAGGGAGCGCAGGCGGGAAACUAAGCGGAUCUUAAAAGUGCGGGCGUCAACCCCGUCGAUGGGGUCCGGAACCUAGGUUUUCGUUUGUAGUGCAGGAGGAGGAAAGGACGGAAGUUACCCUACGUGUAGCGGUGGAAAUAGCGUAGAUAUUGGGUAAGAACACCAGUGGCGAAGGCGGCUUCUGGUACUGUAACUGACGCUGAGGCUCGAAAGCUAAGGGUAGCGGAACGGGAU
rnacentral:rRNA from 1 species